rnacentral:tRNA from 1 species
GGUGAGGUGUCCGAGUGGCUGAAGGAGCACGCCUUGGAAAGUGUGUAUACGUUUGCGCGUAUCGAGGGUUCGAAUCCCUCUCUCACCGCCA